UGCCGAAGUUUUCCUCGGUAGUUAACUGCAGUCGAUUUCUUAAUUCGGCAGUUAACUGGUGAAGGGCAU
rnacentral:pre_miRNA from 1 species